UCUUAUGAAUGAACAAAGAAAGUGGUUCCUUGAGAUGGGAUCUACUUCUGGUGAAGAUGCUAUGAG
rnacentral:pre_miRNA from 1 species